rnacentral:sRNA from 1 species
AUGGAUCCUGGGGACGACUGGCUGGUGGAAUCCUUGCGCUUGUACCAGGAUUUCUAUGCAUUCGACCUGUCAGGAGCCACUCGAGUCCUUGAAUGGAUUGAUGACAAAGGAGUCUUUGUUGCUGGCUAUGAAAGCCUGAAAAAGAAUGAAAUUCUUCAUCUGAAAUUACCUCUCAGACUUUCUGUAAAGGAAAACAAGGGCUUAUUCCCAGAAAGAGAUUUCAAAGUGCGCCAUGGAGGAUUUUCAGACAGGUCUAUCUUUGAUCUAAAGCAUGUGCCACAUACCAGAUUGCUGGUUACCAGUGGCCUUCCAGGUUGUUAUCUGCAGGUGUGGCAGGUUGCAGAGGACAGUGAUGUCAUUAAAGCUGUCAGCACCAUUGCUGUGCAUGAGAAAGAGGAGAGUCUCUGGCCUAGGGUGGCCGUCUUCUCCACAUUGGCACCCGGAGUCCUCCAUGGGGCGAGGCUCCGCAGUCUGCAGGUCAUUGAUCUGGAGUCCCGGAAGACCACGUACACCUCAGGUACCAUGGUACUUUGUCCCUUGCUUGCUGCUCCAGCCGGCAUCACCCACCAGCCCAACUCAGCCACUAUAAAAACUGAGUUCAACUCUCUGUGCCAGGUGUUGGGGAUAUACAGUGAAUAAGAGGUAAGCCCUGGCCUCUAAGGGCUCCUAUGCUGGGGCAGGAUUAGGCAGUCCCAGGGACCAACACCCAACCAGCUGAGCAGACAAUGGUGAGAUGAGUGGGAAGGGAGAUGUGAUUUAUUCUGCCUGGGACUGGUGGGAAGGGACCUGUGACCAGCCAGCCCUGCCAAAUUGCCAGACCCAUCUGCCUCCAGCCGCUUGUCUCCUUUGCUGUCGGUCUUCCAGAUGUCAGUGACAGUGAGGAGCUGAGUAGCCUGCAGGUCCUAGAUGCAGACACCUUUGCCUUCUGCUGUGCUUCGGGCCGGCUGGGGCUUGUUGACACCCGCCAGAAGUGGGCACCAUUGGAGAAUCGCAGCCCUGGCCCUGGG